GACGUAGGAUCCGAGCGUUAUCCGAAUUCACUGGGCGUAAAGCGCGUGCAGGCGGUUCAGUAAGUUGGAUGUGAAAUCUCCUGGCUCAACUAGGAGAGGACGUUCAAUACUGUUGGACUAGAGGACGGCAGAGGAAGGUGGAAUUCCCGGUGUAGUGGUGAAAUGCGUAGAUAUCGGGAGGAACACCAGAGGCGAAGGCGGCCUUCUGGGCCGUACCUGACGCUCAGACGCGAAAGCUAGGGGAGCGAACGGG
rnacentral:rRNA from 1 species